UUUUGCUAGUCAUAAAACCACUAGUGAAUAAGGGGUGGGCAAGUUCUGGUGUCAGCCGCCGCGGUAAAACCAGCACCUCAAGUGGUCAGGAUGAUUAUUGGGCCUAAAGCAUCCGUAGCCGGCUCUGUAAGUUUUCGGUUAAAUCUAUGCGCUCAACGUAUGGGCUGCCGAAAAUACUGUAGAGAUAGGGAGUGGGAGAGGUAGACGGUACUCGGUAGGAAGGGGUAAAAUCCUUUGAUCUAUCGAUGACCACCUGUGGCGAAGGCGGUCUACCAGAACACGUUCGACGGUGAGGGAUGAAAGCUGGGGGAGCAAACCGGAUUAGAUACCCGGGUAGUCCCAGCUGUAAACGAUGCAGACUCGAUGAUGCAUUGGCAUAUAGCCAGUGCAGUGUCGCAGGGGAGCCGUUAAGUCUGCCGCCUGGGAAGUACGUACGCAAGUAUGAAACUUAAAGGAAUUGGCGGGGGAGCACCACAAGGGGUGAAGCCUGCGGUUCAAUUGGAGUCAACGCCGG
rnacentral:rRNA from 1 species